rnacentral:lncRNA from 1 species
AUGACAGCCCAGCCUAAUGAGGUGGGGGAGCUUGAGAGAGAUGUGUGCUUUGUGUGCUUGGAAAUGGUUCUUUCCAAUGGAUCCUUCCUGAACUCAAACUGUAAAACAUCUCUAACUGGAUUCCUGUUUACUCCACCAGAACUCUCCAGGUCCCUGAACUUUUUAACUCAUACACAUCCAGCAAAAGCAGAGGAGAACCUGGCUCUGUUUCAAAGUUCACACGGACAGUAGACACCGUGAGUCCCAGCCUCACAGAACAUCAGGGCUGGAGGAGGCCUCAUAGAUGACCCCGUCCAAUUCCUUUGUACCGCACGUGUGGGACCUGGAGCCUGAGGAGAAAUGCCCACCUGAAGUUACAAAGCGAAAAAUGGCAGAGCCCUGGACUACAUCUUGUCUCCCAUUAGUAACUCAGCAGGGUUUUGGUGAGUUCUAGAAAAUUUCAGUUGAAACGCAAAAGCUAUUUCUGCCUCUCCUCAGUAAUGUUUAGACU